rnacentral:rRNA from 1 species
CAGAGGGUGCAAGCGUUGUUCGGAAUUACUGGGCGUAAAGGGCGCGUAGGCGGUCUUGCAAGUCAGAUGUGAAAGCCCAGGGCUCAACCCUGGAAGUGCAUUUGAAACUGCAAGACUCGAGUGAUGUAGAGGUUGGUGGAAUUCCUAGUGGAGAGGUGAAAUUCGUAGAUAUUAGGAGGAACACCGGUGGCGAAGGCGGCCAACUGGGCAUUAACUGACGCUGAGGCGCGAGAGCAUGGGUAGCAAACAGGAUUAGAUACCCUGGUAGUCCAUGCUGUAAACUAUGGAUACUCGCUGUAGCUGGUAUUGACCCCGGCUGUAGCCAAGUUAACACGUUAAGUAUCCCGCCUGGGGAGUACGGUCGCAAGAUUA